CACGUAGGGCGCAAGCGUUGUCCGGAAUUAUUGGGCGUAAAGAGCUCGUAGGCGGUCUGUUACGUCUGCUGUGAAAACCCGGGGCUUAACCCUGGGCUUGCAGUGGAUACGGGCAGACUAGAGGCAGGUAGGGGAGAAUGGAAUUCCCGGUGUAGCGGUGAAAUGCGCAGAUAUCAGGAGGAACACCAAUUGCGAAGGCAGCUCGCUGGGACGUUACUGACGCUGAGACGCGAAAGCGUGGGGAGCAAACAGG
rnacentral:rRNA from 1 species